rnacentral:rRNA from 1 species
AAUACAACUUUUAGCAACGGAUCUCUUGGCUCUCGCAUCGAUGAAGAACGCAGAA